UACGGAGGGGGCGAGCGUUAUUCGGAAUUAUUGGGCGUAAAGGGCGCGUAGGCGGUUUGACAAGUCUGAUGUGAAAUCUAUGGGCUCAACCCAUAGCCUGCAUUAGAAACUGUCGGGCUUGAGUAUGGGAGAGGUGAGUGGAAUUUCCGGUGUAGCGGCGAAAUGCGUAGAUAUCGGAAGGAACACCUGUGGCGAAAGCGGCUCACUGGACCAUAACUGACGCUGAGGCGCGAAAGCUAGGGGAGCAAACAGG
rnacentral:rRNA from 1 species